CUCAGUGGCGUCUCACCCUCAUAAUUCGUUAGAAAACAUGGAAACAAAGCUCACAAGAGAGUCUUCGUCUUCCAAGGCAUCCAAUUCUGAGUUCCUGGCCAAGAAGCCACACUCGCCUCCUCCAUGGGCAUCCCAUCUCAGUUGCUUACCCUCCCAUGUCUUUUCCUUUGCCCACCGGCCCACUCCAAUUCAGAAAUGGAGCCUUCCUAAUUUACCAAGCAACACGGAGGUGUGGCUCAAGCGUGAGGGCCUGGCAGGAAUUGAAUUGGGUGGAAACAAGUUCAGGAAAUUGGAAUUCUUGAUGGCAGACGCCGUAGCGCAAGGCGCAGACUGUGUUAUUACAAUAGGAUUCAUCCAAAGCAGCCACUGUUGUGCAACUGCUGUUGCCGCCAAGUAUGUGAAUCUGGACUCAUAUUUCAUACUGAUCACUUCUAAGGUCAUUGUUGACCAAGAUCCUGGACUGACAGGCAACCUCUUGGUCCAGCGUAUGAUAGGAGCUCAAAUUGAACUUGUAUCCGCGGACGAAUUUUUAGAAUUUGGCAAGGAGACACUUACCAAUAUUCUAAAAGAAAAGUUAAUAAAGGAAGGGAGGAGGCCAUAUAUUAUUCCUACAGGGGGAACAAACUCUCUAGGAAUAUGGGGCUAUAUUGAGGCAAUUCGGGAGAUUGAACAGCAGAUUCAGAGUGGGCCUGGCAAUAUUAAGUUUGGUGAUAUUGUUGUAGCAUGUAGCAGCGGCGGUACGGCUGCUGGUCUGUCAUUGGGAUCGUCAUUGAGUUCAUUGAAAGCUAGAGUACAUGCAUUCUCUGUUUUCGAUGACCCUGAUCAUUUCUAUGACUUCAUUCAAGGCCUACUUGAUGAACUUGAAGCUGGUGUCAACUCGCGUGGUAUUGUCGAAGAACAAAAUGAAUGUCAGGAACACUAGAAAAAGUAACUGAAAAACAAGAGAAUAUCAGCCAAAGAAAUGAUACUCUCUCCCUCCCUAUAUAUAAGGCGGAUGGGCUGGGCUAUGCAAUCAACACCUCAGAGGAGCUUAAUUUAUUAAAAGAAAUUGCUGUGGCUACUGGUGUAAUUCUUCACCCAUCAUAAAGGUAUUUAUCGGUCUCUGUCAUCAUGAUUUUAUUAGCUUCCUCCAUCUUCAUUUAUUUCAAACUAAUAAAUCAACCAAUAACAUGGUAAUACAAUUAUUAGCUCCUCAUUAACUGAGACUAAAAACUGGAAAGUCAUAUCAUGCUUGUCCAUCUUUUUGACUUGCAAAGUUUGCAUGAAUGCUUUCUUGCCAAAAUGGCAAAAACCUUAUGGAGGAAGUUAAACAACUAGGCAUACGACUCAAUGCAAACCUAGGACGCGUCUGGUUGUUAGUUGUUACAUCACACUUCGUGCUAUUUUGUGUACCAUGAUUUAGGAUGCCAAGGCUUUUAAGAAGCUCAUAUUUUGUGGAAGAUUAAAUACCGCUGUAUACUAGAUUACCAAACAAAAGGCAUUUUGGAUGUCUCUUAAACAUCAAAGUUACCAGGACCCAAAAAUAGUGUACUAAUCACCUUCUAUUCAUCUUCUACAAAUAGAGGAACUAAAUAAUCUGUAACUGAGUGUACAUCUUGUCAGCGGAAAAGCUGCUUACAGAAUGUUGAGAGACAUGUCUGAGAAUCCAAAGAAGUGGGAAGGGAGAAAAGUCCUUUUCAUUCAUACUGGUGGCCUCCUUUGCUUGUAUGACCAAGUUGAUAAAUUGGCGCCAUUGGUAGGGAAUUGUCAUCGAAUGAAUGUUCAUGAAUCGGUUCCUAGGCAUGACGGCAUUUGAAAGAUUUUCUAGACGAGACCACAAACUUGCAUUGUCUGAAUCACAUCAGAAAGACUCGUUACAAUGGCAUAUUGUCUGUCUCCAAGUUUUCUUAUUUUGUUUCAGAUGUAAUAUAUCCACAUAAAAAUUGUCCAUGAACUCUUCUCAGAUGAUUCAAGUUUGUAGAAUCAAAUAGCAUUUGAAAGUAUGUCAGUGUAACUAUCAUUGAACACUUGAAUAAUCAAAGCAGAACUACCGAUUUGAUGUGUAAAA